GACGAACGCUGGCGGCGUGCUUAACACAUGCAAGUCGAACGGAAAGGCCCUGCUUUUGUGGGGUGCUCGAGUGGCGAACGGGUGAGUAACACGUGAGUAACCUGCCCUUGACUUUGGGAUAACUUCAGGAAACUGGGGCUAAUACCGGAUAGGAGCUCCUGCUGCAUGGUGGGGGUUGGAAAGUUUCGGCGGUUGGGGAUGGACUCGCGGCUUAUCAGCUGGUUGGUGGGGUAGUGGCUUACCAAGGCUUUGACGGGUAGCCGGCCUGAGAGGGUGACCGGCCACCUUGGGCCUGAGAUACGGCCCAGACUCCUACGGGCGGCAGCAGUGGGGAAUCUUGCACAAUGGGCGGAAGCCUGAUGCAGCAACGCCGCGUGCGGGAUGCCGGCCUUCGGGUUGUAAACCGCUUUCGCCUGUGACGAAGCGUGAGUGACGGUAAUGGGUAAAGAAGCACCGGCUAACUACGUG
rnacentral:rRNA from 1 species